GAAGCGAUUGCGGUCCGGUGAUCGUCCCGGUCUUCAAAACCGGCGGGUGGCGGGUAAAUCCCGUCACCGAUGGGUUCGACCCCCAUUCGCUUCCGCCA
rnacentral:tRNA from 1 species